CUAGCCUAAAGAGAGUUAGGGUUUCGCGCUUUUCGCUAUAAAUACCAAAACAGGGGUUUUUAUCGCCACAGGUUUACAUUCAGGGAUCAUCUUCUGGAAAAAAUCGACAUUGUUGAUAGAAAAGCGUGAGAGUUUCUGUUGUUCAGGAUGAGAGCUAAGUGGAAGAAGAAGCGCAUGAGGAGGUUGAAGAGGAAGCGCCGAAAGAUGAGACAGAGAUCUAAGUAGGUGCUUGAGCAGGAGUCAGAUGAGCUUUCCUUCCUAUACCUAGUUCAUGGCAUUUUGGGUUUUUAUGGCUCCAAUGAUCUCGAGGUCUAGUUGGGAGGGGAGGCAUAUCUCACGACUCAGUUAGCAUUACUGCAUUAAGACUAUUGAGUGGAUUAAGUUGUUAUGAUGAGUGUUUUAUCGUACCUAAUUAUGUACUGAUUUUGUAUACUUCUUGGUUUAUCCGAAUAGCUUAUAUAUCGUAAGAGUUUCCUGAAAUUUGAUCAUUUUAUAGAGAUGUUAAAAUAGAGUUGACUGUUCAGGCAACAUAAUUUACCUAUAAUUUUUAGCUUUUAUUUUA